CAGACUUCGUCGGCGAACAUGGCUGGCAAAUAUUUGUCAGAGCUUCGAGAACAAGAACGAAAACAACGUUCGUGUGUGCUCUUCGCAUUUCAUAACAGGAAAGAAAUCUAAUUUGUAUGACCAACUAAAUCCUGACUGGGCCCCGACUGUUAACCUUGGUCUAAAGAGAAAGCAGCCUUGUCCUGACAGGUAAGCUCGCCAACGAAAAAGACUACUGUCAGCUUCAGCAUUUGAAAACCGGGAUGUAAACCUGUGUUCAGAGAAUGAAGAACUCCCUGAACCAGCAGUUACUGACACUGGAAUUUCAUGUCAAACAGACAUAGGCUUAGAGCUUAUGACUGCGAUGCAGGAUGAGCUUCAGCAACUUCGAGUUGAAAACAUGGAACUGAAAAGGCAAUUGAAUGGUUACACGACUCGAUAUGAAAUUGAUUACUUUGCAGAUAACAACGAGAAAGUAAAACAUUUCACUGGACUGCCGGAUUUCUUGACCCUGACUAUACUCUUCGAACAUAUUAAAGACUUUCUUCCUUCAAGCUUUGUUAUGGGGAAGUUUAAGAUGUUCAUAUUAACUCUUGUUAAACUUCGACUUAACAUGUCCAAUGUAUUCUUAGCCUACGAGUUCGACACUACCCAGCCGACUGUGUCGAGACUGUUUACAAGUUGUAUAUCAACUUUGUAUAAAAGACUUUCAAGGCUCAUCAGAUGGCCGGAAAAGGAGCCUUUAAAAAAGACUAUGCCAAUGGAAUUUAGAAAGAAUUUUGCAAAAAAAAUGCACAGUCAUCAUUGAUUGUUUUGAAGUUUUUUGCGAAAAACCCAGUGGACUUACUGCACGUGCUGAAACGUGGUCAUCGUACAAGCAUCAUCAUACAGUUAAAUAUUUAAUAGGCAUCACACCUCAAGGAACUGUCUCAUAUCUUUCUAACGGAUGGGGUGGUCGUGUAAGCGACAAGUACAUUACUGAAAACUGUGGGUUUUUAGAUAAAUUGCUGCCAGGGGACCUAGUGCUAGCUGACCGGGGAUUCAAUAUUGCUGAAAGCGUAGGAAUAGUGUCUGCAGAGGUGAAGAUUCCAGCAUUCACAAAAGGAAAAUAUCAACUUUCACCUCUUGACGUGGAAUCUACUAGGAAACUUGCACAUUCAAGAAUCCAUGUUGAGAGGGUGAUCGGAAGUGUCAGACAAAAGUACUCUAUCUUGAAUGGUUCUGUGCCAAUAUCAUUUCUCAUGAACAAAGAUAUUGAAGGAAGGUGUGUAAUGGACAAAGUUGCAACUGUUGCAUGUGGCCUUGUUAAUUUGUGUGAAUCAAUUGUGAACUUUGACUAAAAGCGCAAUAAAUAAUGAACAAAGACUAGCAGUGUAAAAUAAGUGCAUGUUUAUUAUUGUUUGCAAAGAACUGGCAGUAUAAUGGGAUGUUCAUUAUUGUUUGCUUAUGAAAUAAUUACACAAAACCUGGUCAAAUAAAAUUAUAAACUAUGAACAUAAAGCGUACGUAAUUGUUAUGAAUUUUAUACAAACAUUUACUUGUUUAUGUAGUGUUUUAUACAGGAAGGAAAAGGGGCGUGGUGCAAAAUUUCAAAAAAGGGCACUUUUGCGCGCGACAUCCAUAAAAAGGGCACAAAUAUAUCUGUAUAGUGACUUAAUAACAAGCUUUGUUACACACAAACAUUGUAUGUAUAGUUUUGAGAUUUAUUGUUGAAUAAUUAAACCAACAAAAUCCAGAA